AGUGAACGAUGGCGGCGUGCGUAACACAUGCAAGUCGAACGAGAACGGGUUAUAGCUUGCUAUAAGUGUCAGCUAAGUGGCGCACGGGUGAGUAAUGUAUAGGGAAGAGGCCUCUUAGUAAGGGAUAACAAAUGGAAACGUUUGCGAAGAAGUUAUACUAAUGUUAUACAGAAGAGGAAAAGGGUUAGAUUUAUUGGUAAGAGAUUAGCCUGUAGUGUAUAAGUUAGUUGGUGGGGUAAUGGCUUACGAAGAUAAUGACACAUAGCUGGUUUGAGAGGAUGAUCAGUCACAUUGGAACUGAGACACGGUCCAGACUCCUACGGGAGGCAGCAGUGGGGAAUAUUGCACAAUGGACGAAAGUCUGAUGCAGCAACGCCGCGUGGAGGAUGACACAUUUCGGUGCGUAAACUCCUUUUAUAUGAGAAGAUAAUGACGGUAUUAUAAGAAUAAGCACCGGCUAACUCCGUGCCAGCAGCCGCCGUAA
rnacentral:rRNA from 1 species